CCAAUAGCGUAUAUUAGAGUUGUUGCAGUUAAAAAGCUCGUAGUUGAAUUUCGGGAUCAAUACGUCGGUCGUGCCUUUGGUACGCACUGGCGUCGUUGAUUUCUCCCUUCUGAUGAACCAUCAUGUCAUUAAUUUGGUGUUUUGGGGGGUCAGGACUGUUACUUUGAAAAAAUUAGAGUGUUUAAAGCAGGCAAACGCUUGAAUACAUUAGCAUGGAAUAAUGAAAUAGGACGUUCGAACCUAUUUUGUUGGUUUCUAGGUACAACGUAAUGAUUAAUAGGGAUAGUUGGGGGCAUUAGUAUUCAAUUGUCAGAGGUGAAAUUCUUGGAUUUAUUGAAGACUAACUACUGCGAAAGCAUUUGCCAAGGAUGUUUUCAUUAAUCAAGAACGAAAGUUAGGGGAUCGAAGACGAUCAGAUACCGUCGUAGUCUUAACCAUAAACUAUGCCGACUAGGGAUCGGAUGAAGUUAAUUUUUUAAUGACUCAUUCGGCGCCUUACG
rnacentral:rRNA from 1 species